rnacentral:rRNA from 1 species
GACGAACGCUGGCGGCGUGCUUAACACAUGCAAGUCGAACGGAAAGGCCCUGCUUUUGUGGGGUGCUCGAGUGGCGAACGGGUGAGUAACACGUGAGUAACCUGCCCUUGACUUUGGGAUAACUUCAGGAAACUGGGGCUAAUACCGGAUAGGAGCUCCUGCUGCAUGGUGGGGGUUGGAAAGUUUCGGCGGUUGGGGAUGGACUCGCGGCUUAUCAGCUUGUUGGUGGGGUAGUGGCUUACCAAGGCUUUGACGGGUAGCCGGCCUGGGAGGGUGACCGGCCACAUUGGGACUGAGAGACGGCCCAGACGCCUACGGGAGGCAGCAGUGGGGAAUAUUGCACAAUGGGCGGAAGCCUGAUGCAGCAACGCCGCGUGCGGGAUGACGGCCUUCGGGUUGUAAACCGCUUUCGCCUGUGACGAAGCGUGAGUGACGGUAAUGGGUAAAGAAGCACCGGCUAACUACGUG